rnacentral:rRNA from 1 species
UGCCAGACUCCUACGGGAGGCAGCAGUGGGGAAUAUUGCACAAUGGGGGAAACCCUGAUGCAGCGACGCCGCGUGAGCGAUGAAGUAUUUCGGUAUGUAAAGCUCUAUCAGCAGGGAAGAAAAUGACGGUACCUGACUAAGAAGCCCCGGCUAACUACGUGCCAGCAGCCGCGGUAAUACGUAGGGGGCAAGCGUUAUCCGGAUUUACUGGGUGUAAAGGGAGCGUAGACGGCAAUGCAAGCCAGAUGUGAAAGCCCGGGGCUCAACCCCGGGACUGCAUUUGGAACUGUGUAGCUGGAGUGUCGGAGAGGCAGGCGGAAUUCCUAGUGUAGCGGUGAAAUGCGUAGAUAUUAGGAGGAACACCAGUGGCGAAGGCGGCCUGCUGGACGAUGACUGACGUUGAGGCUCGAAAGCGUGGGAAGCAAACAGGAUUAGAUACCCUAGUAGA